AUGGGGGAACCCACCAUCCGUCAUGGGAUGGUAUCCUACGGGAGGGGAACCCGGUGAACUGAAACAUCUAAGUAGCCGGAGGAAGAGAAAUCAAACGAGAUGCCCACAGUAGCGGCGAGCGAAGAGGGCAGAGCCUAAACCAGUCAUCUUCGGAUGGUUGGGGUUACGGACCUGCAUCAACCGAGUCCUACCUAGUCGAAUUACCUGGAAAGGUAAGCCAGAGAGCGUAAGAGCCGCGUAGGUGAAAGGAAGGACGAGGGGGCAGGGAUCCAGAGUACCACGAAGCACGAGGAAUUUUGUGGGAAGUCGGGGGGACC
rnacentral:rRNA from 1 species